rnacentral:rRNA from 1 species
AGAGUUUGAUCCUGGCUCAGGAUGAACGCUGGCGGCAUGCCUAAUACAUGCAAGUCGAACGAGAGGAAGGAAAGCUUGCUUUCCUGAAUCUAGUGGCGAACGGGUGAGUAACACGUAGGUAACCUGCCCAUGUGCCCGGGAUAACUUCUGGAAACGGAUGCUAAAACCGGAUAGGUAGCAGACAAGCAUUUGACUGCUAUUAAAGUGGCCUUGGCCAUGAACAUGGAUGGACCUGCGGUGCAUUAGCUAGUUGGUGAGGUAACGGCCCACCAAGGCGACGAUGCAUAGCCGGCCUGAGAGGGCGGACGGCCACAUUGGGACUGAGACACGGCCCAAACUCCUACGGGAGGCAGCAGUAGGGAAUUUUCGUCAAUGGGGGGAACCCUGAACGAGCAAUGCCGCGUGAGUGAGGAAGGUCUUCGGAUCGUAAAGCUCUGUUGUAAGAGAAAAACGGCACUCAUAGGGAAUGAUGAGUGAGUGAUGGUAUCUUACCAGAAAGUCACGGCUAACUACGUGCCAGCAGCCGCGGUAAUACGUAGGUGGCGAGCGUUAUCCGGAAUUAUUGGGCGUAAAGAGGGAGCAGGCGGCACUAAGGGUCUGUGGUGAAAGAUCGAAGCUUAACUUCGGUAAGCCAUGGAAACCGUAGAGCUAGAGUGUGUGAGAGGAUCGUGGAAUUCCAUGUGUAGCGGUGAAAUGCGUAGAUAUAUGGAGGAACACCAGUGGCGAAGGCGACGAUCUGGCGCAUAACUGACGCUCAGUCCCGAAAGCGUGGGGAGCAAAUAGGAUUAGAUACCCUAGUAGUCCACGCCGUAAACGAUGAGUACUAAGUGUUGGGUGUCAAAGCUCAGUGCUGCAGUUAACGCAAUAAGUACUCCGCCUGAGUAGUACGUUCGCAAGAAUGAAACUCAAAGGAAUUGACGGGGGCCCGCACAAGCGGUGGAGCAUGUGGUUUAAUUCGAAGCAACGCGAAGAACCUUA